UAAUCAGCUCUGGCUCCUCUCCUUCCUUCAGCUACAACCCUUUGCACCUGCUCCCAGAGCCCCAAGUCCUGGUCUCUCCACCUGCAAAACUUUCCCCACCCUCCCCGAGGGCUGCUGGCCUCCUCCCAGGACUCUGCAGCAGCUUCCAGCACUUGAAGAGGAGCUACAGCUGAUUAUUCACUGGAGAUUUCCCAGUCUGAGGAUGGCAUCUGUCUCCUACCUGGGUGCUACAGACACCAAUCCCGACCUUGGCUCUCGCACCAAAAUAAAGCCUAGAUUGGAAAGUUCAGAACAGCGGCUCCCACCUGUAAUCCCAGCAUUUUGGGAGACUGAGGCAGGAGGAUCACUUGAGCCCAAGAGUUCGAGACCAGCCUUGACAACAUAGUGAGGCCCUGUGUCUAUAUGUUAAAAAAUUAAAAAGAAAUUUUUUGAAAAGAAAGAACCAGAGACUUACAAUACACACAUUAGGAAGGCAUGGGCAGCAAGACACCACCACCGUCUCUGUGGCACCAGGUCUGUGGAGGGCAGUGUGACAAUAGCUCCUCAAAUUAAAACUGCAGACACCCUCCCGCCUGGCACAUCUACUUUCAGAAAUCUUCCUAAGCUGUACCCACCCACCAGCAGAUGACUCCUGUCCACGGAAGCCUUCAGCACCACUGUCUGCAAAAAAACAUUGAAAACAACCCAGAUGUCCCUCAACAAUGGCUACCUCAGUCAGGGACAGCCACACCACGGACGAGGGGCCCUAAAAAGGUGAGACCUUCCCAAGCCUUGGCGUUUCACAGAAGGGCACAGGGCACAGACCCUGGACAACUGAGGGAGCGUGUGUGCUUGUGAUGCAGGAAUCACUGUACGGGCCCAAAAGAGAUGGCAGAGAAGCAGCAGAAACACUUCCUUUUCACUGUAUGCAGUUUUUUCAUUUUGUGCAUUUUUUAAACCAUCAUUUAUUAUUAAACCUUUGCUUUUUUAAUCACCUGGAUGUAUCACCAAUUCCCCUCCCUCCCAAAAAAAGGGAAAAUAAAAAUUUUUUA